GACAAUUUGCUUAGUAGUUGAUCACUUGGAGCCGGACGACUUUCCAUUUUCAAAUUUACAGAAAAAUUCUUACUCCUUAGGAGAUUCACGUCCGAUUCAAAUAAUACGACUUGCUCCUACAAGUGCUAGAAGGUUCUAAGUUGGUAUACGUUUUUGUGUUUCAGUGACAUAAUAGGCCUAUCUCUUGUCAUUUAUUUGGAAUGUUAAUCUAAGAUAACCUUACAACCUGGCCUUUAUUUAUUUUUGUGUUGGAGGUAAUAGUUAUUUGGGUGCAUAUAAAACAGUUUGAUGUUGUUGCAAAUGUUCAUCUCACGUUAUUUAUACAUAUAAUUAUAUUGGUAAAAAACUGCUUCUAAGAAGGGUAUGCAUUUGACUAUGAUAGAAGAAAGAGAAAAGAGGGGUGGGGGGAAGGAACCUUGAAGAUGCCCAUUGAGAAAAUGUCAGACACAUUGCUAGUAUAUUUGGUUUUAUUUUCUGUUUUUCUUCCCUGUUUUAGUUUUAUUCGUGCAUUGAUUUUUAUAGUUGGUUGUUAAUAAUUUAAAUUUCUUGUUUUUAACCAUUUUCCAGUACUUUGGUUGCGAUUGAUAAAAUUUUUCCCCUGUUUUGACCAGGCACCAAAGGUUUACCGAUAUGAUAACCUACGAGUGGAGCUUGGUGGAGAACCGUAGGCAUCUUGUUGCAAUUGAAUGAGUAAAUGUUUUUCACAUGUGUUCUCCUGAGCUUUCCCCUGUGUAUUUGUUUGCGUUUUUGUGUUCGGAGUAGUUAAAAAUAAUGGCAAUAUUUAUGAGACCGACAUAUCCAACGAUUAGCUUAGACUGGUAGUAGUGCUUUAUGCACUCGUGUUUCUUUGCAAAGAAAGAUGUAUAAGUGGUGGUAUGCCUAUGGCUAUACUACAUGAAAGAUUACCCGGUAGUUAGCCAUGUUAUGAUCUUCAAUUUUUCUUGUGCCAAUUACGCGUUGUUAGCACUAAUUUCAGAGCAGUCGGCCAUGCCAUGAUCUUAUUAUGAUCUUCAAUUUGUCUUUAUGCUAAUUACGCGUUGUUAGUUCUGUACUUAUAGUCGACAUAUAUACUUACGUGCUGGAAUUUCAACAUCAG
rnacentral:lncRNA from 1 species